CGUAGGGUGCGAGCGUUAAUCGGAAUUACUGGGCGUAAAGCGUGCGCAGGCGGUUAUGUAAGACAGUUGUGAAAUCCCCGGGCGUCAACCUGGGAAGUUGCAUCUGUGACUGCAUAGCUAGAGUACGGUAGAGGGGGAGUGGAAUUCCGCGUGUAGCAGUGAAAUGCGUAGAUAUGCGGAGGAACACCGAUGGCGAAGGCAAUCCCCUCGGACCUGUACUGACGCUCAUGCACGAAAGCGUGGGGAGCAAACAGGAUUAGAUACCCUGGUAGUCCACGCCCUAAACGAUGUCAACUGGUUGUUGGGUGCAUUAGUACUCAGUAACGAAGCUAACGCGUGAAGUUGACCGCCUGGGGAGUACGGCCGCAAGGUUG
rnacentral:rRNA from 1 species